GCCGUCCCCCCCUCAGCAGCCACCACUGGUACAGAGUACGUUACAAUGAUUUUACUAACUACUUUUGACCAGGGCCCAUAAGGGCUCUGGCCAAAAGUAGUGCACUAUGUAGGGAAUAGGGUGCAAUUUGUUACAUAGCCCAGAAGACUCAAGGCUAUUGUGGCUGUUUGCAGCUCUUGGCUAACAGUGAUGUGUAAUUUACAUAGCUGGGAGAUUAGUGAAGGGGUUUGGAAAGUAGGUCCGGCAUGUUUGAGGAGGAGCAGCUCGGUGAUAUGGAAUGUGAGCUCUUAAUACCUCGACAAACCACAACCACCACCAGGCCUAGCUGGAGUUCAUCACUGGGGUCUGGAGUUUUCCUAGUCAAGUCACGUCGGGAAAAACUCAGAGCCCUCAAAACAGACAUUGAGAUACAGUACCAGUCAAAAGUUUGGACACACCUACUCAUUCCAGGGUUUUUAUUGUAUUUUUACUAUUAGUCUAGUAGAAGGAGGGGGGUUUAAAUGCAUCCAAAUAAUAUUAGAGGACAAAGUUUAUUAGCCUCAUAGGGCCUCAGGAUGCCAAGGCAGUAGACUACUACUGUGUUUUUAGGAGUCUAACUGUAAUGCUUUAUAAUGCGCUUGCCCAUAAUUAAACUCACUCUCUCAUGUCAACACACUGACGCUAUGCCAGUUAGGUCCUGAAAACACAACACCACUCACUCUACCAUGUCAACACACUGACGCUAUGCCAGUUAGGUCCUGAAAACACAACACCACUCACUCUACCAUGUCAACACACUGACGCUAUGCCAGUUAGGUCCUGAAAACACAACACCACUCACUCUACCAUGUCAACACACUGACGCUAUGCCAGUUAGGUCCUGAAAACACAUGGGUGCCUCACUCUACCAUCCGUGUCCUAAGAAAGAACAGCUCUACCUAAUAACAGAAUGCAAUUUUGCUUUAUGCAAUGUUGCUCGGUGUGAAAGGCAGUGUGCAAGUCUUUGAAAACACUUGAACAUCAGAGCUCUAGAGAUGUGUGUAGCAGUGGUGUUUCGAUUUCUCUCAGUCUCAACACAACAUGAC
rnacentral:lncRNA from 1 species